GCCAGUGUGAUGUAGUGGUUUGUAUGUUGGACUACAACUCUGGAAACCAGGGUUCAAUUCCCAGCUGAGCCA